GACGAACGCUGGCGGCGUGCUUAACACAUGCAAGUCGAACGGAAAGGCCCUGCUUUUGUGGGGUUCCCGAGUGGCAAACGGGUGAGUAACACAUGAGUAUCCUGCCCUGUACUUUGGGAUAUCUUCAGACAACUGCGGAUACUACCUGCUAGGAGCUCCUGCUGCAGGGUGGGGGUUGGACAGUUUGGGAGGUUGGGGAUGGAUUCGGGGCUUAUCAGCUUGUUGGUGGGGGACUUGCUUACCAAGGCAUUGACAGGUGGCCGGCAUGAGAGGGUGAACGCCGUCAAUGCGACUGAGAGAGGGCCCAGACGCGUAUGUGAGGCAGCAGGGGGGAGUAUUGCACAAUGGGCGGAAGCCUGAUGAAGCAACGUCGCGUGCGGGAAGACGGCCUUCUUGUUGUAAACCGCUGUAGCCUGAGACGAAGCGUGAUUGACGUUAAUGGGUAAAGAAGCACCGGCUAACUACGUG
rnacentral:rRNA from 1 species